rnacentral:sRNA from 1 species
UUUCGUUGCCCUCCCAAGGGCGUUUCCUCCCUUGACUUCAGGCCGCUCCUUCGGGGGUGGCCUUUUCUUUGUCCGGC